GUCCUUGCCGUAAACGAUGUAUACUUGAUGUAGUCUAGGCUCAACCCUUACUGUGUCGAAGCUAACGCGAUAAGUAUACCGCCUGAGGAGUACGCUCGCAAGGGUGAAACUCAAAAGAAUUGACGGGGGCCCCGCACAAGCAGUGGAGCAUGUGGUUUAAUUCGAUGCAACGCGAAUAACCUUACCCAGGCUCGAAAUGUAGGUGGCGAUAUCAGAGAUGAUAUUUUCCGUAAGGACGCCUAUAUAGGUGCUGCAUGGCUGUCGU
rnacentral:rRNA from 1 species